rnacentral:rRNA from 1 species
UACGAAGGGGGCUAGCGUUGCUCGGAAUCACUGGGCGUAAAGCGCACGUAGGCGGGUCUUUAAGUCAGGGGUGAAAUCCUGGAGCUCAACUCCAGAACUGCCUUUGAUACUGAGGAUCUCGAGUCCGGGAGAGGUGAGUGGAACUCCGAGUGUAGAGGUGAAAUUCGUAGAUAUUCGGAAGAACACCAGUGGCGAAGGCGGACUCACUGGCCCGGUACUGACGCUGAGGUGCGAAAGCGUGGGGAGCAA